CGGCGAAACUGCGAAUGGCUCAUUAAAUCAGUUAUCGUAUAUUUGAUAGUACCUACUACAUGGAUAACCGUGGUAAUUCUAGAGCUAAUACAUGCUUAAAAUCCCGACUUCGGAAGGGAUGUAUUUAUUAGAUUAAAAACCAAUGCCCUUCGGGGCUCACUGGUGAUUCAUAAUAACUUCUCGAAUCGCAUGGCCUUGUGCCGGCGAUGGUUCAUUCAAAUUUCUGCCCUAUCAACUUUCGACGGCUGGGUCUUGGCCAGCCGUGGUUACAACGGGUAACGGAGGGUUAGGGCUUGACCCCGGAGAAGGAGCCUGAGAGACGGCUACUACAUCCAAGGAAGGCAGCAGGCGCGCAAAUUACCCAAUCCCGACUCGGGGAGGUAGUGACAAUAAAUACUGAUACAGGGCUCUUUUGGGUCUUGUAAUUGGAAUGAGUACAAUUUAAAUCCCUUAACGAGGAACAAUUGGAGGGCAAGUCUGGUGCCAGCAGCCGCGGUAAUUCCAGCUCCAAUAGCGUAUAUUAAAGUUGUUGCAGUUAAAAAGCUCGUAGUUGAACCUUGGGCCUGGCUGGCCGGUCUGCCUCACCGCAUGCACUGGUCCGGCCGGGCCUUUCCCUCUGGGGAGCCGCAUGCCCUUCACUGGGUGUGUCGGGGAACCAGGACUUUUACUGUGAAAAAAUUAUAGUGUUCAAAGCAGGCAUAUGCUCGA
rnacentral:rRNA from 1 species